GACGAACGCUGGCGGCGUGCCUAAUACAUGCAAGUAGAACGCUGAAGAGAGGAGCUUGCUCUUCUUGGAUGAGUUGCGAACGGGUGAGUAACGCGUAGGUAACCUGCCUUGUAGCGGGGGAUAACUAUUGGAAACGAUAGCUAAUACCGCAUAACAAUGGAUGACACAUGUCAUUUAUUUGAAAGGGGCAAUUGCUCCACUACAAGAUGGACCUGCGUUGUAUUAGCUAGUAGGUGAGGUAACGGCUCACCUAGGCGACGAUACAUAGCCGACCUGAGAGGGUGAUCGGCCACACUGGGACUGAGACACGGCCCAGACUCCUACGGGAGGCAGCAGUAGGGAAUCUUCGGCAAUGGGGGCAACCCUGACCGAGCAACGCCGCGGGAGUGAAGAAGGUUUUCGGAUCGUAAAGCUCUGUUGUAAGUCAAGAACGGGUGUGAGAGUGGAAAGUUCACACUGUGACGGUAGCUUACCAGAAAGGGACGGCUAACUACGUG
rnacentral:rRNA from 1 species